rnacentral:lncRNA from 1 species
GGGAAAAAAUGGGGCAUUACCCAUUUUAUUGCAGUCCAGAAUAAGAAGGAAACAUUUAUAAAGGAGAGAAAAGCAGCAGUGCAAUCUUUGUCUUUAAAAUAUUUUGGGAGAAGACUUUGACUUAGCAAACAGCAUCAUUUCAAACUAUACCAAGGCAAACACCAUUUUCAGAUCAUCUUAAAUCCACAGUGAGCCCCAUCCAUCCAUCCUGGCCACUUUGCCCCUCCCAAAAGGGCAUUUUGCCCUUUGCUCAUCCCUAAAGCCCCUCUUAAAUGCGUAUCCCAAACGAUGCACUUGCACCAGGAGGAAGCUGAGAUUUACGAUACACAUCCAAAGAAACAGCAUUUCCAAGUCAAUAAGACAGCAGAGAAAGGCUCCCAGUAAGCUGAGGAAUGGACCUGCCAUUUCAGAGCUCAGAGAAAACAAAUAUGGAAAUCUGCAGUGUGGGAGUGUGCCAGCGCUGGGGGCGAGAGGGAUGGGGCUGGGAGGAUUUCCAGCUCCACACAGCCUCUUUACUUCUGUACCAUAGCCCUCCAAGCCCUGGGGGCUGACACUAGGCCAUGGUAACUGCUAAUGCAAGGGGAUAAUUAGAGGUUUAGGUGGAGAUUAGGAACAAUUCCUUCUCCAAAGGGUGCUCAGGCAUUGGAACAGGCUGCCCAGGGCAGUGCUGGAGUCACUGUCCCUGGAAAUGUUCACACACCGUGUAGACGAGGCCUCAGUGCCAUGGGUUAGUGGUGGCCUUGGCAGUCCUGGAGGGACAGUUGGACUGGAUGAGCUUAAAGGUCUUUUCCAACCUGGCUGCUUCCAUGACUCCAUGAUUUCAGUGCCACCCACCCCUGGCAUAGGCAACUGCUGGGUUUCCCAGCCUGAGCAUCACCAGAAUAGCCAUGAGGAAGCACUGCCCGCGCCAGGGGAGUUGCCUCCCAGCAGGGUCCCGCAGUGCCAGGGGCACACCAUGUCCCCUCAGCUGCCACCCAGGCUGGCGGGGUGGGACGCAGGGUGGGACGUGGCGAGGGACGCUCGGGGGCUCACCUGGGGCAGGGCGCUGCGGGAGCUGAGCACCAGGCUGCACACGCUGGCCGGUGCCGCCGUCCUCCGUGCCGUCACCCUCACCAGCCGCGGCGGCGUCCCCGGUGCGCUGCCCCCAGCUCCUGCGGGGAGCCUCUGCUCGCCGUCCCGGCACGGCUCUUACCUCAGGUGAGUGCUGGGGCUCUGCGGGUGGGAUGGCAGAGCCGGCCCCAUGCUGCUGCCGAGCAGUGCCAUGGUGCGUGUCUGGGCCGGGGGGCUGCAGGGGCGCGGAGCGCAGCGUGAAGUCGUAGAAUUCAUGGAUAUCUGCAGAGCCUGGAAGAGUUCACUUUGGAAGAUGUGCGAGACUUUUCCAAUGGAAGCUUUUAGCUCCUGCUCCUCCGGGGACUGCAGGGUGCUUUGGUAUCUGGUCAGAAUUUCCACUGCCCGUUCAGGCGCUCCUUACCUUCCCUGCGGAUCAUCGCUCCGCCGUGGCCAGCGGCCGCUCCGCUCGGUGCCAGCCCCCGAGGAGCCGCCGCCGCCGCCCGCCUCUCCCCGCCCC